rnacentral:rRNA from 1 species
GAUGAACGCUGGCGGCGUGCCUAAUACAUGCAAGUCGAGCGAACAGACGAGGAGCUUGCUCCUCUGAUGUUAGCGGCGGACGGGUGAGUAACACGUGGAUAACCUACCUAUAAGACUGGGAUAACUUCGGGAAACCGGAGCUAAUACCGGAUAACAUGUUGAACCGCAUGGUUCAACAGUGAAAGACGGUCUUGCUGUCACUUAUAGAUGGAUCCGCGCCGCAUUAGCUAGUUGGUAAGGUAACGGCUUACCAAGGCAACGAUGCGUAGCCGACCUGAGAGGGUGAUCGGCCACACUGGAACUGAGACACGGUCCAGACUCCUAUGGGAGGCAGCAGUAGGGAAUCUUCCGCAAUGGGCGAAAGCCUGACGGAGCAACGCCGCGUGAGUGAAGAAGGUCUUCGGAUCGUAAAACUCUGUUAUUAGGGAAGAACAAAUGUGUAAGUAACUAUGCACGUCUUGACGGUACCUAAUCAGAAAGCCACGGCUAACUACGUG